UGGGGAAUAUUGCACAAUGGGGGGAAACCCUGAUGCAGCAACGCCGCGUGAAGGAAGACGGUUUUCGGAUUGUAAACUUCUUUUCUUAGUGAAGAAACAAAUGACGGUAGCUAAGGAAUAAGCAUCGGCUAACUACGUGCCAGCAGCCGCGGUAAUACGUAGGAUGCGAGCGUUAUCCGGAUUUACUGGGUGUAAAGGGAGCGCAGGCGGGACUGCAAGUUGGAUGUGAAAUACCGCAGCUUAACUGCGGAGCUGCAUCCAAAACUGUAGUUCUUGAGUGGAGUAGAGGCAAGCGGAAUUCCGAGUGUAGCGGUGAAAUGCGUAGAUAUUCGGAGGAACACCAGUGGCGAAGGCGGCUUGCUGGGCUCUAACUGACGCUGAGGCUCGAAAGUGUGGGGAGCAAACAGGAUUAGAUACCC
rnacentral:rRNA from 1 species